rnacentral:lncRNA from 1 species
GUUCUGAUACUAAGUAACUAAUAUCUGAAGUUACUGAUAACUGAGUUACUGAUACUGAUUGAAUGUAUUUGAUAGUCCUGAUUCUGUAGAACUGAACUGAGUUCUAUUCUGAAGAUUAAGACUAAGACUGUGGGAUGUAAUCAUCUAAUCGACAUGCCCCAAAUAUAAUAACUGAGUUGGGGUCUAACCUAUGACCCCAG